AGUAGUCAUAUGCUUGUCUCAAAGAUUAAGCCAUGCAUGUCUAAGUAUAAGCAAUUAUACAGCGAAACUGCGAAUGGCUCAUUAUAUAAGUUAUCGUUUAUUUGAUAGUACCUUACUACUUGGAUAACCGUGGUAAUUCUAGAGCUAAUACAUGCUAAAAAUCCCGACUUCGGAAGGGAUGUAUUUAUUAGAUUAAAAACCAAUGCCCUCUGGGCUCCUUGGUGAUUCAUGAUAACUCUUCGAAUCGCACGGCCUUGCGCCGGCGAUGGUUCAUUCAAAUUUCUUCCCUAUCAACUUUCGAUGUUUGGGUCUUGGCCAAACAUGGUCGCAACGGGUAACGGAGGGUUAGGGCUCGACCCCGGAGAAGGAGCCUGAGAAACGGCUACUACAUCCAAGGAAGGCAGCAGGCGCGCAAAUUACCCAAUCCCGAUUCGGGGAGGUAGUGACAAUAAAUACUGAUACAGGGCUCUUUUGGGUCUUGUAAUUGGAAUGAGUACAAUUUAAAUCCCUUAACGAGGAACAAUUGGAGGGCAAGUCUGGUGCCAGCAGCCGCGGUAAUUCCAGCUCCAAUAGCGUAUAUUAAAGUUGUUGUGGUUAAAAAGCUCGUAGUUGAACCUUGGGCCUGGCUGGCCGGUCCGCCUCACCGCGUGUACUGGUCCGGCCGGGCCUUUCCCUCUGUGGAACCCCAUGCCCUUCACUGGGUGUGGCGGGGAAACAGGACUUUUACUUUGAAAAAAUUAGAGUGCUCCAGGCAGGCCUAUGCUCGAAUACAUUAGCAUGGAAUAAUGAAAUAGGACGCGUGGUUCUAUUUUGUUGGUUUCUAGGACCGCCGUAAUGAUUAAUAGGGACAGUCGGGGGCAUCAGUAUUCAAUUGUCAGAGGUGAAAUUCUUGGAUUUAUUGAAGACUAACUACUGCGAAAGCAUUUGCCAAGGAUGUUUUCAUUAAUCAGGAACGAAAGUUAGGGGAUCGAAGACGAUCAGAUACCGUCGUAGUCUUAACCAUAAACUAUGCCGACUAGGGAUCGGACGAUGUUAUUUUUUGACGCGUUCGGCACCUUACGAGAAAUCAAAGUGCUUGGGCUCCAGGGGGAGUAUGGUCGCAAGGCUGAAACUUAAAGAAAUUGACGGAAGGGCACCACCAGGGGUAAACCGCUUCCUGCAGCCGCAGUAGCUCUGCUCCGAAAAGCAGCCCGAAAGGGUCGGUGGUGUUCCUGCCUACGGGCGAACCGACUGCUAGUCUCCUCCGGAGGCGACACCCUCAAAUUGCGGGAAACUCCUAAAGCCAGCGCCACCAAGCCGGCGUCGAAAGGACGUCGGUGGCCGGGGUAACGACCCUGGGUACGGUAAAAGCGCGCUGGAUACUGCAAUGGACAAUCCGCAGCCAAGCCUCGUCGCCGCAGGGCACGGGGAAGGUUCAGAGACUAGAUGGGGGUGGGUGGUGUAGGCAGCUACGCUCGCUCACGACACUGCUUAAG
rnacentral:rRNA from 1 species